UGGAAGGACAAGAAAUAUAUUUCUCUUGAACGCAAGGAAUACAUUAAAUAUUUGGGACUUUUACUAGAUGAACAUUUAACUUGGAAACAACAUAUAGAUUAUGUAGCAUGCAAAGUAAGCAAAACAAUCGGAAUCAUCGCCAAACUCCGACAUUUUGUUCCUCUUCAGGUACUUACAAGUAUCUAUCGAUCACUUAUUUCCCCCUAUCUAUCCUACGCUAUUACUGUUUGGGGAAAUGCUUCUCAAACUAAUUUAAAAAAACUCUUGGUACUUCAAAAGCGUGCUCUACGGUUAAUGCAUUUCGCUAAUAAUCGCGAUCAUGCCGUUCCUUUCUUCAAAAAUACAAAUAACUUGCCUAUUAACAUGUUAUAUGUUGAAACAGUUUCAAAAUUAAUGUACGACAUUAGUCAUAAUUCAGCACCUAGAAAUGUAAUGGAUCUCUUUACUCAAGUUGCUACUGUUCAUUCCUAUAAUACCAAAUCCUCUACUGCUGGUAAUUAUCAGAUAAAAUAUUCUCGUACAAAUCAACAGCAUAAUGCUUUCUCUAGAGUUGGUGCUAAAGUAUGGAAUUCUGUCCCUGAACAUCUCCGCGAUCUUAAAAAAAAAGAUUUCACUAGUAAGAUUCACACUUUACUAAUCGAAAUUAUAAAUAACGAAGAUGACUAUGUUGAUCUCCCUAUGAUUUUGCAGAGAAUGUCUGUUUGAUCUUAUUUUUAAUAUUUCAUGGGUACGUUAUUAACAGUACAUCAUUCAUCAAUCAGAUCCUACACCACCUUUCAAAUUCCACCGCUAAUGAUACAUUUCUUUAAUUUUUUUUUAUUUUUUAUUUUUUCUGCACGUAUAUAUACAGUAAAAUUGUCUGCAACUAAUUGAAAUUAUAACUGUCUAAAUUUAUAUUUCAUGCCCGCCUCUGAUUAGCUAUUGCUAUUUGCGGGUCAUGUUAUUUCUAUCUUAUGUAUUUUAUUUUAUUGAAUAAAAUUGUAUUGUAUUGUAUUGUAUUGUUGGGUUCUAAUGUAAAAGCUAAGUUAAACAACAACGAUACAUUUGAUAGGUUUAGUUGGUUUCCAAAAAUUGGGUGGAACACUCCUGCACAUUCAUUCAAGGUUUAUGUGGACGGUAAAAGCUUCUUUGUAACUUCCGGGGAGGCCGGCGGAAAUAUGCUUCCUAAAAUUGAAGACAGUAUUAAGAUUGAUGGUGUAAGUACAGUGUUCGACUAUAAGAAACCCUACUUUGCAGCUCUUUGCGGCGCAUAUAUCGCA